UGAUUUGUGGUUUGGUAAUAAUUAAAGAUGUUUUUGUUUAGAAAAUGUAAGAAAUUAAUGAUUUUCUUAAUUUGUGUACACAAUUCUAAAAUGACUUAUAGGAGUAUUAAAAAACGGAGGGAGUAUAACUUUAAGGAACAUAGGGAGUAUUUUCUUUGGUUGAUAUUUGGACUGGAUGGUCGCUGUUCCAGCCAGCAGCUGCGUUGAUGCCUCCCUUUCUCACGCAGUAAGGUGCGGGGGCACAGCUUUACAGUGGCUAAUUCGGUGGAGCUUUGGCUAAGCUCCACAACGUUGUAGUUAAGGCUAUACACAUUGAGCAUUGAAUGUGGCAAUAGAUUCUUCACUCGUUACUUGUAUUUUCUUUUUUCCCUUGCUUACAAAAUCUUAAAAUCUUAGGGUUUAAGGUUU
rnacentral:lncRNA from 1 species